CCUACGGGAGGCUGCAGUGAGGAAUAUUGGUCAAUGGACGAGAGUCUGAACCAGCCAAGUAGCGUGAAGGAUGACUGCCCUAUGGGUUGUAAACUUCUUUUAUAUGGGAAUAAAACAAGGCAUGUAUACCUUCUUGUAUGUACCUUAUGAAUAAGGAUCGGCUAACUCCGUGCCAGCAGCCGCGGUAAUACGGAGGAUCCGAGCGUUAUCCGGAUUUAUUGGGUUUAAAGGGAGCGUAGAUGGGUUGUUAAGUCAGUUGUGAAAGUUUGCGGCUCAACCGUAAAAUUGCAGUUGAAACUGGCAGUCUUGAGUACAGUAGAGGUAGGCGGAAUUCGUGGUGUAGCGGUGAAAUGCUUAGAUAUCACGAAGAACCCCGAUUGCGAAGGCAGCUCACUGGACUGUAACUGACAUUGAUGCUCGAAAGUGUGGGUAUCAAACAGGAUUAGAUACCCGAGUAGUC
rnacentral:rRNA from 1 species